rnacentral:tRNA from 1 species
GGGGCUGUGGCGCAGUUGGGAGCGCGCUUGAAUCGCACUCAAGAGGUCGGGGGUUCGAAUCCCCCCAGCUCCACCA